UCCUACGGGGGGCAGCAGUGGGGAAUAUUGGGCAAUGGGCGCAAGCCUGACCCAGCAACGCCGCGUGAAGGAAGAAGGCUUUCGGGUUGUAAACUUCUUUUCUCAGGGACGAAGAAAGUGACGGUACCUGAGGAAUAAGCCACGGCUAACUACGUGCCAGCAGCCGCGGUAAUACGUAGGUGGCAAGCGUUAUCCGGAUUUAUUGGGUGUAAAGGGCGUGUAGGCGGGAGCGCAAGUCAGAUGUGAAAACUCAGGGCUCAACCCCGAACCUGCAUUUGAAACUGUGGGCCUUGAGUGGGCGAGAA
rnacentral:rRNA from 1 species